GCGCUCCCAUGCGCAUGCCCGAGAGUGAAGUAUCUCUUUAAGAAGGCUGGGUGGGGCUUCCUAUUGCGUCAUCCCGUUUACCACAUUGGACCUUUGUGCUCCCCACAGUGACACCUUCGGUCCUCCUUCUCCCACGACGAGACUUUUAAAAAUGGCGCAGCAGUUUGUGCAGACCGCCAUCAAAGGGGACAAAGUAGUGCUGUUCAUCAAGCCCACGUGCUCCUUCUGCAUCUCGGCCAAAGACGUGCUGUCGAAAUACAAAUUCAAGCCAGGACACCUGAAGAGCAUCGACAUCAGUGAGCGCAGCGACAUGGACGACCUGCAGCAGUACUUCCUGGAGCUCACGGGCGCGCGCACGGUCCCGAGGGUGUUCAUCGGGGAGGAGUGCGUUGGAGGUGGCAGCGACGUGGCGGCGCUCCACAAGAGCGGAAAACUGGAGAGCAUGCUGCAGUCCAUCGGAGCCCUGCGGUGAUGCUGCAGAACUCCAGGUACCGACUCACCUGCUCCUGAGGAAGGGGAAUAAAGAGGCCCUCUAUCACAGCAGGGGAGAACAUGAGGUGGGAGAGGGCGGAGUGAAGCGCUGUGGAGAUGGCGUCUUCUGUACACCUGUUCUGGCGGUAGGUGAAUUGGAGGGGGUCCAGUGUGGGUGGUAAGCAGGUUUUCAGAUGAGCCAAGACCAGCCUCUCAUACACUUCAUGAUGAUGGGUGUAAGUGCAGCGGGGCGAAAGUCGCUAAGGCUCGCUGCAGUGGCGUGUUUGGGCACUGGCACGAUAGAGGUGGCUUUAAAGCACGUUGGCACAGCUGCUUGGGCCAGUGACAGGUUGAAGAUGUCAGUCAGGACCCCAGUCAGCUGCCCAGCACAGGCCUGGAGCACACGUCCGGGAUGCCGUCAGGGCCCGCAGCCUUACAGAAAACAAGUGCCGAGCACCUGUUCAACAGGUAAUUAAAAGGCGACUGCAGACAUGACAGACAGAGGACUGGCUGUCAGCGUGACCACACCGAGGGAGAGCCGGACUGAGCAGCCUGGGAAGCCCCGAGAGGUCCGACACAGCAGGGGACCAGAGGAGAGGGGACCAGAGUCUUCGGGAGAGACUGAGGGCCUUCAGAAGACAGCCCUCAGCUCCUCCAGGAGAGCAUCAACUCUAAUAACCUCACAAAUAAGCAGAGAUGGUCUCUGCAGGAUGCUCCUCGUCUCGUGAGAAUCUUUCAAACUAGAAACCCCUCGAUGCCAAAGUGUGUCUGUGGCAAUAUGUGCACUAAUUUACAGACGAGACCACGUGUGCACGUCUUCAUCUCGUGUGCACGCUGCACUCGUCACUCUUCACUGCCACUCAGACCCACUGAGCUGUACUGCACACCGAACACACGUGCAGAGAAACAGUGUUUCCCAUGUGUGGAAUGGAUCUGUAGUUUAUAGGCAUCACACAGAUGUCACAAUACAUUUACUAACAUAUGCCUUAUCGUUCAUAUCAGUGGUGAUGGUGGCUCACUGCACAGAAGAGCAUCAGAGAAAACUAACUGUGACAAUGACGCCAUCUGGUGGCGGCAGUGCAGAUACCCUUUUUACAUUUGGACGUUCACAUGAACUUUUCAUCUCAUAAUUUCAUUUUGAUAUCUGCAAUGACCCUCAAAUGUUUCAUUGAUUAUUGAGGCCAACAGUUUGUACCUGACAAUAAAUACUCGUUGAGCUUCUGUUUGUUGCAAAGUAACAAUACAAAUGUACCUUGUA